rnacentral:rRNA from 1 species
GACGAGCGCUGGCGGCGUGCCUAAUACAUGCAAGUAGAACGCUGAAGGAGGAGCUUGCUUCUCUGGAUGAGUUGCGAACGGGUGAGUAACGCGUAGGUAACCUGCCUGGUAGCGGGGGAUAACUAUUGGAAACGAUAGCUAAUACCGCAUAACAGUAGAUAUCGCAUGAUAUCUACUUGAAAGGUGCAAUUGCAUCACUACCAGAUGGACCUGCGUUGUAUUAGCUAGUUGGUGAGGUAACGGCUCACCAAGGCGACGAUACAUAGCCGACCUGAGAGGGGGAGCGGCCACACUGGGACUGAGACACGGCCCAGACUCCUACGGGAGGCAGCAGUAGGGAAUCUUCGGCAAUGGACGGAAGUCUGACCGAGCAGCGCCGCGUGAGUGAAGAAGGUUGUCGGAUCGUAAAGCUCUGUUGUAAGAGAAGAACGAGUGUGAGAGUGGAAAGUUCACACUGUGACGGUAUCUUACCAGAAAGGGACGGCUAACUGCGUG